UACGUAGGGGGCAAGCGUUGUCCGGAUUUAUUGGGCGUAAAGAGCGUGUAGGCGGUUUGGUAGGUCCGCUGUGAAAACUCGAGCUCAACCUCGAGACGCCGGUGGAAACCAUCAGACUAGAGUCCGGAAGAGGAGAUUGGAAUUCCUGGUGUAGCGGUGGAAUGCGCAGAUAUCAGGAGGAACACCGAUGGCGAAGGCAGAUCUCUGGGCCGUAACUGACGCUGGAG
rnacentral:rRNA from 1 species